UUUAAGGAGGAUGGGUAGGAGUUCUUCAUUGUAUGUUUGUUAGAAUUUGCCUGUGAAGCCAUCUGGGCCUGGACCUUUGUAGGGAAUGUUUUUAUUACAUAUUCAAUUUCAUUCUAGUGAUAUGUCUGUUUAAAUUAUCUAUUCUUCUUGAUUCAGUUUUGGUGGGCUGUAUGUCUCUAGAAAAAAAUUGUCCAUUUCUUCCAGAUUGUCAAACUUGUUGCCAUAUAGUUGUUCAUAGUAUUCUCUUAUGGUUUUUUGUAUUUCUGCUGUAUCCGUUGUGAUUUCUCCUUUUUCAUUUAUAAUUUUGGUUAUUUGGGUUCUUUCUCUCCUCUUUUUAGUGAGUCUGGCCAGGGGUUUGUCAAUUUUGUUCACCUUUUCAAAGAACCAGCUCUUGGUUUUAUUAAUUUUCUCUAUUGUUUUUUGAGUCUCUAUUUUAUUGAUUUCUUCUUUGAUCUUUAUAAUUUCCUUCCUUCUGCUGACUUUAGGACUUUUUUGUUCUUCUUUUUCUAAUUCAUUUAGGUGGAGGGUUAAGUUGUCAAUUUGGGAUCUUUCUUCUUUUUUGAGAAAGGCCUGGAUUGCUAUAAAUUUCCCUCUGAGCACUGCUUUCGCAGCAUCCCAUAGAUUUUGAGAGGUUGUGUCUUCAUUAUCAUUUGUUUCAAGGUAGUUUUUAAUUUCCUUCUUGAUUUCCUCAUUGACCCAUUGGUUUUUUAGUAGCAUGUUGUUUAGUCUCCAUGGAUUUUUUUCUCAUUUCUUUUCCUGUGGUUGAUUUCUAGUUUCAUUCCAUUUUUUUUUCAGAGAAGAUACUUGAAAUAAUUUCUAUACUCUUAAAUUUGUUGAGGUUAGUUUUGUGCCCCAGUAUGUGAUUGAUCCUUGAGAAUAUUCCAUGUG
rnacentral:lncRNA from 1 species